AUUGAACGCUGGCGGCAGGUCUAACACAUGCAAGUCGAGUGGAUGAAGGGAGCUUGCUCCUGGAUUCAGCGGCGGACGGGUGAGUAAUGCCUAGGAAUCUGCCUGGUAGUGGGGGAUAACGUCCGGAAACGGGCGCUAAUACCGCAUACGUCCUGAGGGAGAAAGUGGGGGAUCUUCGGACCUCACGCUAUCAGAUGAGCCUAGGUCGGAUUAGCUAGUUGGUGGGGUAAAGGCCUACCAAGGCGACGAUCCGUAACUGGUCUGAGAGGAUGAUCAGUCACACUGGAACUGAGACACGGUCCAGACUCCUACGGGAGGCAGCAGUGGGGAAUAUUGGACAAUGGGCGAAAGCCUGAUCCAGCCAUGCCGCGUGUGUGAAGAAGGUCUUCGGAUUGUAAAGCACUUUAAGUUGGGAGGAAGGGCAGUAAGUUAAUACCUUGCUGUUUUGACGUUACCAACAGAAUAAGCACCGGCUAACUUCGUG
rnacentral:rRNA from 1 species